rnacentral:rRNA from 1 species
CCUACGGGGGGCAGCAGUGGGGAAUAUUGCACAAUGGGGGGAACCCUGAUGCAGCGACGCCGCGUGAGUGAAGAAGUAUCUCGGUACGUAAAGCUCUAUCAGCAGGGAAGAAAAUGACGGUACCUGACUAAGAAGCCCCGGCUAACUACGUGCCAGCAGCCGCGGUAAUACGUAGGGGGCAAGCGUUAUCCGGAUUUACUGGGUGUAAAGGGAGCGUAGACGGCACUGCAAGUCCGGAGUGAAAGCCCAAGGCUUAACCAUGGGACUGCUCUGGAAACUGUGGAGCUUGAGUGCGGGAGGGGCAG